ensembl:lncRNA
AAUGUAACAGGUAUUUUUGUAAAGGGACUUUUAUUUUGAUGGGUUGCCCCGUUUUCGGGUAUGUUAGCGGGAGGUGAAAAGAUGUCUGGGAAGAAGGAGAAAAAGAGAGCAUUUUUACGAGAGAAAGACACGCCAUGAUUGCUGUGUGGGAAAUCAGCAGUUUUUCAACGGAAAACGUGAAAGAAGAUACAGUUUUUACGAGAGAAAGACACGCCAUGAUUGCUGUGUGGGAAAUCAGCAGUUUUUCAACGGAAAACGUGAAAGAAGAUAGUAAUAUACAGUUCAUCUGAGUUUUUGUGAGUUAAACGAACAUUAACGCCAUCGUCGUCUGAGACUGGAAACGGAGCUGGUGCAGAAGUUCGGCUGAUUGCGUCAUCGAACAGCGUGAGAGACUGGCUGAGAGCACGAGAGUUAGUUGCUGGAGCCGUGAGUUUCUUCCUGAACGCUGUUGUUUUGCAUCUUUCGAACUGUAUGUAUUUUUGAGAGUUUUUCUGCGUGCCUG